UACGAAGGGGUCGAGCGUUGUUCGGAAUUACUGGGCGUAAAGGGCUCGUAGGCGGCCAACUAAGUCAGACGUGAAAUCCCCAGGCUCAACCUGGGAACUGCGUCUGAUACUGGAUGGCUUGAAUCCGGGAGAGGGAUGCAGAAUUCCAGGUGUAGCGGUGAAAUGCGUAGAUAUCUGGAGGAAUACCGGUGGCGAAGGCGGCAUCCUGGACCGGCAUUGACGCUGAGAAGCGAAAGCCAGGGGAGCAAACGGG
rnacentral:rRNA from 1 species